ACGUAGGUGGCAAGCGUUGUCCGGAAUUAUUGGGCGUAAAGCGCGCGCAGGUGGGAUCUUAAGUCUAUUUUGAAAGUUCGGAGCUUAACUCCGUGAUGGGGUGGAAACUGGGAUUCUUGAGUAUCGGAGAGGAAAGCGGAAUUCCCCGUGUAGCGGUGAAAUGCGUAGAUAUGGGGAGGAACACCAGUGGCGAAGGCGGCUUUCUGGACUAUAUCUGACACUGAGGCGCGAAAGCCAGGGGAGCAAACAG
rnacentral:rRNA from 1 species